CCUACGGGUGGCAGCAGUGAGGAAUAUUGGUCAAUGGGCGGAAGCCUGAACCAGCCAUGUAGCGUGCAGGAUGACUGCCCUAUGAGUUGUAAACUGCUUUUGUACAAGGGUAAAGUGGGACACGUGUACUUUGUUGUAAGUACUUUAUGAAUAAGGAUCGGCUAACUCCGUGCCAGCAGCCGCGGUAAUACGGAGGAUCCAAGCGUUAUCCGGAUUUAUUGGGUUUAAAGGGUGCGUAGGUGGUUUGUUAAGUUAGUGGUGAAAUGUUGCGGCUUAACCGUAGAACUGCAAUUGAUACUGGUAGUCUUGAGAAUAGAUGCGGUAGGCGGAAUUCGUGGUGUAGCGGUGAAAUGCUUAGAGAUCAUGAAGAACACCGAUUGCGAAGGCAGCUUACCAAUCU
rnacentral:rRNA from 1 species